rnacentral:rRNA from 1 species
UACGUAGGGUGCAAGCGUUGUCCGGAAUUAUUGGGCGUAAAGAGCUCGUAGGCGGUCUGUCGCGUCGGCUGUGAAAACCCGGGGCUCAACCCCGGGCCUGCAGUCGAUACGGGCAGACUAGAGUGCGGUAGGGGAGACUGGAAUUCCUGGUGUAGCGGUGAAAUGCGCAGAUAUCAGGAGGAACACCAAUGGCGAAGGCAGAUCUCUGGGCCGUAACUGACGCUGAGGAGCGAAAGCAUGGGGAGCGAACAGG